AGGAGGAGGAGGCGGUCGGCUGCUGGAGGAACCAGUGGCUCAGCUGACGCCGUCCUGGUUGCUUUCCCUCCACAGACCAGAGGUUUGAAUCGGAGCGCUGCAGGCUGGCAGGAGGAUCUGCCACAGCCCGAACCGGAGGGAAGGAGCAGAGGGAGGGCGAUUACUGGUACAUGGAAAAGUGUGGAUCCGAUGUGAAAACCUGCAGGACGUUUGUUCAGGACAGGAAGUCCUCUCUGUCCCGCCUCGUUCCGUCUUCAGAGGGAAGGACAAAAGCUUUUAGCGCUGACAGACUCACCGGCUGCAGCUGAGAAGAAACGGCUCAGAGGCCAAACCUCCCAGUUGUAAUAUAUUUUAAAAAGUCACUUUUACUACUUGAAUAUUUAUAGUUAUUCAUUCAUUUACAUUUCGGCCUUUGGCUCCUGCAGAUAGAUAUAUCUUUCAAGUAAAGAUGGUAGAAUAAAUGCAGCUUUUAAUACGUCAAACUAUAACUUUUGAUGUCAAAACUUGCUUUCAUUUUCCCAGACGAUGUUUUGAUUCCUUAUUUAUUGCCAACAGAUUACAGAACUGCAGACAUUAAACUAAGAAGCUCGCUGUCAUUUAUAGUCAAAGUAAAAUGUUUGUUAUUUCAGCAAAAUGGGUAGAAAUUCAGACUCAGAUAGUGUGAAAUUAAAUAAAGCAGACGUCCCUUUGACCAGUGUGUCAUUAUGUAGAUGAGUUUGCUGCUAAAGGAAAUGUUUGGAAUGUGAAACGGCCGGCCAACAAAUUAGUUGAGACUUGACGUUGCUUUACGCUUGAAUCAACUCGGAAUGGACGGCAAUAAAAAUGGAAAUGUUAGCGAAACGUCCUCCUUUAGCCGAAACCAGCGGUGUGCAUAAUUUUUACGGCCAACAUCCGAUCCCUCAGCAUAAACCAAGCGACUGCCGCUGCCUGGGUGGACAUUUAUAACAAUUAAUCAGAGCGCCGUCGAAUUUGUUCUUGUCAUCCAGUCACUAAAUUACAUCUUCCUGCGACUCCAUGAUGAUCACAGCGUUCCUCUGGCAGAACCAGAGCUGUGAUCAGACGGCUGUGU